rnacentral:tRNA from 1 species
AAGAGUGUUCUUAACACUGCUAACGUUAUUAUCCUAGGCUUACACACCUAGCACUCUUA